UACAGAGGUCUCAAGCGUUGUUCGGAUUCAUUGGGCGUAAAGGGUGCGUAGGUGGCGUGGUAAGUCGGGUGUGAAAUUUCGGAGCUUAACUCCGGAAUUGCACUGGAUACUGCGGUGCUCGAGGACUGGAGAGGAGACUGGAAUUCACGGUGUAGCAGUGAAAUGCGUAGAUAUCGUGAGGAAGACCGGUGGCGAAGGCGGGUCUCUGGACAGUUCCUGACGCUGAGGCACGAAGGCCAGGGGAGCAAACGGG
rnacentral:rRNA from 1 species